CCUGAUGAAAAACGAGAAAUAAUUACUCAAUUUAUUAAUUUGACAAAAACAAAAACAAAACAUAUGCCAUUAGUAAAACCCCUGAUACUUAUAACUUUUCUGAUAUUAUGAAGCGUGUAAAUCAGCAUGAAGCAGCACAAAAAGAGCCUACUAUUGCUGAACUCAAAGCCGCAGUAAAUACAGUCAAGCUAGAAGUAGCUCAAUUAAAAACUAGAAUUCAAAUUCUUGAACUCCAUAAUAGAACUUCAGAAAUAGACACUGAUUCAGAUUCCAUUGAAUUUGAUCACUUGCUCAAAUCAUAUCAUCCCAAUGAUUACAAAAAUCAAGGCGAAUAAUCUACUACUAAAUCAGUAAAUGUAUUAAAUAAAGUAA
rnacentral:lncRNA from 1 species